rnacentral:rRNA from 1 species
GAUGAACGCUGGCGGCGUGCCUAAUACAUGCAAGUCGAGCGAACGGACGAGAAGCUUGCUUCUCUGAUGUUAGCGGCGGACGGGUGAGUAACACGUGGAUAACCUACCUAUAAGACUGGGAUAACUUCGGGAAACCGGAGCUAAUACCGGAUAAUAUUUUGAACCGCAUGGUUCAAAAGUGAAAGACGGUCUUGCUGUCACUUAUAGAUGGAUCCGCGCUGCAUUAGCUAGUUGGUAAGGUAACGGCUUACCAAGGCAACGAUGCAUAGCCGACCUGAGAGGCUGAUCGGCCACCCUGGCACUGAGACCCGGUCCGGACUCCUACGGGAGGCAGCAGUAGGGAAUCUUCCGCAAUGGGCGAAAGCCUGACGGAGCCACGCCGCGUGAGUGAUGAAGGUCCUCGGCUCGUAAAACUCUGUUAUUAGGGAAGAACCUAUGUGUAAGUAACUGUACACAUCUUGACGGUACCUAAUCAGCAAGCCACGGCUAACUACGUG